AAUCAACGCUGGCGGCGUGCCUCAGACAUGCAAGUCGAACGAUUAAACUUUCCUUCGGGAAAGAUAUAAAGUGGCGCACGGGUGAGUAACACGUAGGUAAUGUACCUUUGGGUGGGGAAUAACCAUCGGAACGAUGGCUAAUACCGCAUAAUGCAGCGGCAUCGCAAGAUGACAGUUGUUAAAGAUUUAUCGCCUAAAGAGCAGCCUGCGGCAGAUUAGGUAGNGGUAAGGUAAUGGCUUACCAAGCCUGCGAUCUGUAACCGACCUGAGAGGGUGGUCGGUCACACUGACACUGAAUAACGGGUCAGACUCCUACGGGAGCAGCAGUCGGGAAUUUGGGCAAUGGGCGAAAGCCUGACCCAGCAACGCCGCGUGAAGGACGAAGUCUUUCGGGAUGUAAACUUCGUAAGAAUAGGAAGAAUAAAUGACGGUACUAUUUGUAAGGUCCGGCUAACUACGUGCCAGCCGCCGCGUAAU
rnacentral:rRNA from 1 species